rnacentral:rRNA from 1 species
GAUGAACGCUAGCUACAGGCUUAACACAUGCAAGUCGAGGGGUUUGCUUCGGCAAACGACCGGCGCACGGGUGAGUAACGCGUAUCCAACCUGCCUCUCUCAUUGGGAUAGCCCUCCGAAAGGAGGAUUAAUACCGAAUAACAUAAUGUGUUUGCAUGAAUUCAUUAUGAAAGCUCCGGCGGAGAGAGAUGGGGAUGCGUUUCAUUAGGUAGUAGGCGGGUAACGGCCACCUAGCCAACGAUGAAUAGGGGUUCUGAGAGGAAGGUCCCCCANACUGGAACUGAGACACGGUCCAGACUCCUACGGGAGGCAGCAGUGAGGAAUA